rnacentral:lncRNA from 1 species
GGAAGAAGCAAAGUUGUGGGAGCCCUACUUCCUGCGGAGCCCCUCCCCCACCUCCCUGCCAUCCACUUCCUGCUGCUGACCUAGGAUUGCUGGCAAUAAAACCGCAAGAGUGUGCAUGGAGGAGGCCCUUAACAUCCACACUGUCACUUAACUUUUACAACCUCCACAUGAUCGAUAUGACAGAUAUUUAUCCUGUUCUUCUCUCUAACAGAUGUGAGGGAGUCUUGGCCCAAAGAACUUCAGUCACUUGCCCGGGACUCACAGUACUAGUAACAUCCCCUUUGACAAGUGAAGAAACCGAGGCUUGGCAAGGUUAAUCAGCGUGCCCAAGGUCAGCCAGCUCCCUGAAGUCUGACUCUACCAGCCUCAACCGUUACCAGGGCGGCGAUGGUCAGCAGUCACAAUUACCAGGGGCUGCAGGAGAUCGUCAAAAUCUCGCAGAGCCUACGAUGAAGAAGACACAAGAGUUUGAGAGAGAGGAAGUCACUCGCUCCAGGUCAGCCAGCCAGCAAAUUGGGGAGGUCAGCCUUCAGAGCUCUGGCAACAGACCACUGCCAUGUCACAAAUAGCUUCCCAGCUUGCGAGAGUGUCUGGUAAGGGAUGAGUGAAUGGGGGAGACGGCAGGAAACUCAGCAGCCACAAAAGGGAGAGAUGUGCAGCCUGUUCAGGAACGAACACCAGGUGGAACAAAAGCGGGGCAGAACAAGAGCAUGUGCAUCCUCUUACCACCAUGACAUUAAGGCCAUGUCUGCACCCGGACCAAGAUGGGAAGGGAGCACAGAGCUGUGACUUCAGGGAAUAGGAAGGAUGGCAACAGACAUGGGGUUCUCUAUGACUUUCCAUUUUAUCUUCCAUUUUCACAGUAAGUUUUAAAACUCUACGUCUCCAGAUUCAGCAUGAGAAGGAGAAGUUCCUUGAAUCCUCUGGGCACUGGGGACAGCCAGUCCACCCACCCUGGGUAACAAAGGGAUGUGGUCAGUCCUCACGUGAGGAGGGACUGAGUGUCCUCCAUGGACCUGCGACGUCCCGUCUGUGAGGCCCUCGCUACUUUCUGCAAAUUUCUACAUGGAUCAGAGACAGGAGAAGCAGGCACACUGAUGGUUGUCUAGCACCACGUGCCAGUUUUUGGCAGUCGGGACCACCUCGACUUCCUGUCUCCAGGCAGGGUGGGGAGGGAAUGGUCCUUAUGCCCCAGGAGAGCCUCAAGGGCUGUGCACACCCUGCAAUGCAGGCACACCCCCUUCCACCCUCUGAAUGCUCUGCCACAAACAGCCACUGCGAGCGUAAUGAAGCCCCCAAAACAGGGAGCCCUGUGACUCACCACUGCUGCUUCAGGGACAGGGACAACUGCCAGAAUUCUUAGCUCUCUUUUACAGAUGGGGAAAUUGGGACUCAGAGAGGGAUGCGAUCUCUCCAAGCUCACACAGCCAAUCUGUGGCAGGGGAAUGAGAAAGUCUGGUCUGGUCUCCUCUCCCCAUGGCUGGGGCUCUCUCUGCAGUCCCGCCCUAUGCCCAGCCUGCACCCUCACCUGCCCCUGGCUCCUGGACUGGCAACUCAAGUCGUGACACGGACACGCUUUACCGAAUUUGCCUCCACACUUUGAGCGACUCAUUAGUAUAAAAAACACGUUCCUCACCACCCUUGCCAGAAGAUUCUUGACACAACACAGUUGGGGGGUUGGCACGCUCUCUCCGUUGUUAAGUAUUUAUAUAUAGUUAGUAUUGGAAUGGUCCCCGGACACCGAUCCAAGUCUCCCGUUUUCAGAUGGGGGGCACCAGGCUUAGGGUCAGGACCCCCCUGGAACAAUUCAGUAGCACAGCUGAGACAUAAAUCCACAGAGCCUGCCCUGAACUUUCCAGCUGCUCCUUGGCAAAUGGGCCAUGGGGAAAAAAAAUAAAUAAAGGCUGCCACUUACUAAGCAUUUGCUCUGUGCCAGGCACUUUGCAUAAAUCGGUGCUAAAUCUUAUCCUAAUUCUCUCAGGGAGGCAUUUUUAUCCCCAUUUUGCAGAUGAGCAAGCUGAGGCUCAGAGAGGGCAAGCCACCUGCCCAAGGUCACAGAGCCAGGGGCUGGAAAUGGCACACAUUUCUUCCCCCACGCCAGGGUUGGCAAAUGAUAGCCCAUAGGCAAAUUGAG